AACCCAUGUUAUGGACACUUCUGCAAGAGGUCUUUGAAUCGUUCCCAAGUCUCAAAUAAUGAUUCAAGCUCCAUCUGAACAAAUGAAUAUAUCUCAUUACGAAGCUU